GACGUAGGUGGCGAGCGUUAUCCGGAUUGACUGGGCGUAAAGGGUGUGCAGGCGGCGGCUCAAGUGGUGUAUGAAAUCGCCCGGCUCAACCGGGCGGGGUUAUGCCAGACUGGGCAGCUAGAGCGUGGGAGAGGGUGGUGGAAUUCCGGGUGUAGUGGUGAAAUGCGUAGAGAUCCGGAGGAACCCCAGAGGCGAAGGCGGCCACCUGGCCCACGACUGACGCUGAGACACGACAGCAUGGGGAGCGAACGGG
rnacentral:rRNA from 1 species